rnacentral:rRNA from 1 species
GAUGAACGCUGGCGGCGUGCUUAACACAUGCAAGUCGAACGGGAAACCUCCUAUUUACGCUUCGGCAGAUUUAGCUGGCUUCUAGUGGCGGACGGGUGAGUAACGCGUGGGUAACCUGCCUUAUAUAGGGGGAUAACAACCAGAACUGGUUGCUAAUACCGCAUAAGCGCACAGGACCGCAUGGUCCGGUGUGAAUAACUCCGGUGGUAUAAGAUGGAUUCGCGUUGGAUUAGCUUGUUGGCAGGGUAACGGCCUACCAACGCGACGUAGCAUAGCCGACCUGGGAGACUGAACGGCCACAUUGGAGCUGAGACACAGCCCAGACUGCUACGGAAGGCAGCAGUAGGGAAUAUUGCACAAUGGAGGAAACCGUGAUGCAGCGACGCCGCGUGAAGGAAGAAGUAGCUCGGUAUGUAAACUUCUAUCAGCAGGAAAGAUAGUGACGGUACCUGACGAAGAAGCCCCGGCUAACUACGUG